GACCUCUUUUCCUCUUUUAAGAAUCGAAAAGGUAGGCUGCCAAACACGAGCGAGAGAAGGAAGAUCAUUACUCAUGCUGUUUUUCAAGAUCAAAGAUGUUAUGAAGAUGGGAGAGUUUUAAACAAAGUGAAGUCAUUAAAAAGACAAGGCAAAGAUCUGCACAAGAAGAGAAGACGUCUUACUCCCUCUGAAUCUCGUCUCUAUGAACGUCUGAACCAAAUCUGGCCAGCCUAAAGUUUAUUGGACGAAUUGGAGCAACUUCUUAAAGGAAUUGGCUAUGAUGAUAGCCGGCCCAUCAAUUGCAUUGAUGAAGGAGGGCUAAUCAACAUAGCAGGUUUAUUUUGGGUGCUGGGCUUCUUUGGAAACACCGAAACGCUUGUGUGUUUGAAGGAGACCGCCCAAAUUUGGACAGGUUACUGCAGGCGUUCAAGGAUGAACACCACUUGUGGUGUCUGGCAGGGGCUCGAAGCCUCAGCUCCUUGAGUGCUGGUCAAGUGUUCGGACUAGGCUAGUUCCUAGUCCUUGUUAGUGGUCUCGGGUCAAGCUUUUGUUUUUUUCUUAGGCAACAACAUCAUAGUGUAUCACAGCCCCUCACAGCUCGGCUCGGAGUGAGGUGUGCUAGUUUGUAAGGGGCCGGUUUAUUCUCUCUAUUAAUACAAAGACACGCAGCUCUCCUGCGUAUUCGAGAAAA